rnacentral:rRNA from 1 species
AAAUGAAUAGACGGGGACCCGCACAAGCGGUGGAGCAUGUGGUUUAAUUCGACGCAACGCGAAGAACCUUACCAGGGCUUGACAUCCCUCGCAAGCUGUGGAAACACGGUGUUUUAUCUUUCGGGAUAGACGAGGAGACAGGUGGUGCAUGGUUGUCGUCAGCUCGUGUCGUGAGAUGUUGGGUUAAGUCCCGCAACGAGCGCAACCCCUACUUUUAGUUGCCAGCAUUUUGGAUGGGCACUCUAAAGGAACUGCCGGUGACAAACCGGAGGAAGGUGGGGAUGACGUCAAAUCAUCAUGCCCUUUAUGUUCUGGGCUACACACGUGCUACAAUGGUCGGUACAGAGGGAAGCGAAGCCGCGAGGCGGAGCGAAUCCCAAAAAGCCGGUCUCAGUUCGGAUUGCAGGCUGCAACUCGCCUGCAUGAAGUCGGAAUCGCUAGUAAUCGCGAGUCAGCAUAUCGCGGUGAAUACGUUCCCGGGUCUUGUACACACCGCCCGU